AAUGAACGCUGGCGGCGUGGAUUAGGCAUGCAAGUCGAACGCGAAAGUUCCCUUCGGGGAGCGAGUAGAGUGGCGAAAGGGUGAGUAAUGCUUGGAUGACCUGCCCUCGAGACGGGGACAACAGUUCGAAAGGACUGCUAAUACCCGAUAGUCCGGUUUAGAUGCGUCUAGAUCGGUAAAUGGUGCUUCCGCUCGAGGAGGGGUUCAAGUCCUAUCAGCUUGUUGGUGAGGUAACGGCUCACCAAGGCGAUGACGGGUAGCCGGACUGAGAGGUUGGCCGGCCACAUGGGAACUGAGAUACGGGCCAGACUCCUACGGGAGGCAGCAGUGAGGAAUAUUGCGCAAUGGGCGAAAGCCUGACGCAGCGACGCCGCGUGGGGGAUGAAGGUUUUCGGAUUGUAAACCCCUUUCAUGAGGAAAGAUAAAGUGGGUAACCACUUAGACGGUACCUCAAGAAGAAGCCACGGCUAACUUCGUGCCAGCAGCCGCGGUAAUGUGACU
rnacentral:rRNA from 1 species